rnacentral:lncRNA from 1 species
UCAUCACUUUAAUCCGCAGUUUUAGUGUUUUUUCUUUCUUUCUUUUUUUUUUUUUUUUUUUUUUUCAGAUGGAGUCUUGCUCUGUUACCCAGGCUGGAGUGCAGUGGCAGGAUCUCGGCUCACUGCAACCUCUGCCUCCCGGCUUCAAGCAAUUCUCCUGCCUCAGCCUCCUGAAUAGCUGGGAUUACAGGCACCUGCCACCACGCCCAGCUAAUUGUUGUAUUUUUAGUAGACACAGGGUUUCACCAUGUUGGCCAGUCUGGUCUUGAACUCCUGAUCUUGUGAUCCACCCGCCUCAGCCUCCCAAAGUGCUGGGAUUACAGGCGUGAGCCACCGCGCCCGGCCAGUGUUUUUUCUUUCUAAAGUACAUGAAGUAUGGUGGUUCAUGCCUGUAAUCCCAGCACUUUGG